UGAAUAUUGAGCCCGACCACACCCGUGGGUCUUUCUCGUUGUAGAUUGCUGCGGAACCUGAAGACGGAGGAGACGACCACACCCUGAGGACGGAGCCAAGACCACACCCGUGGGUCUUUCUAGGUAUAAUCUCGUUCCAAAAGAGAGCCCAUCUGAAUGGAUAUUUUUAAUUUUAUAUUUUUAUAACUAA